UGGCUGAGAGGUAAAGUGCUUGGCUUCCAAACCGGUGGUCCCGGGUUCGAAUCCUGG
rfam:Biomphalaria glabrata isolate BB02 unplaced genomic scaffold LGTN_random_Scaffold1546, whole genome shotgun sequence.